rnacentral:rRNA from 1 species
UCUAAUUUUGUUGGUUUUCGGAAUCUGAGGUAAUGAUCAAUGGGGACAGGCGGGGGCAUUCGUAUUGCGACGUUAGAGGUGAAAUUCUUGGAUCGUCGCAAGACGGACCGAAGCGAAAGCAUUUGCCAAGUAUGUUCUCGUCGAUCAAGAACGAAAGUUAGAGGUUCGAAGGCGAUCAGAUACCGCCCUAGUUCUAACCAUAAACUAUGCCUGCCAGCGAUCCGCCGAAGUUCCUCCGAUGACUCGGCGGGCAGCUUCCGGGAAACCAGAGCUUUUGGGUUCCGGGGGAAGUAUGGUUGCAAAGCUGAAACUUAAAGGAAUUGACGGAAGGGCACCACCAGGAGUGGAGCCUGCGGCUUAAUUUGACUCAACACGGGAAAACUCACCAGGCCCGGACACCGGAAGGAUUGACAGAUUGAGAGCUCUUUCUUGAUUCGGUGGGUGGUGGUGCAUGGCCGUUCUUAGUUGGUGGAGCGAUUUGUCUGGUUAAUUCCGAUAACGAACGAGACUCUAGCCUACUAACUAGGCGUACCCGGUAUCCACAAUCGUGCUACCGGCGAUCAAAUUUCUUCUUAGAGGGACAGGCGGCUUCUAGCCGCACGAGACUGAGCAAUAACAGGUCUGUGAUGCCCUUAGAUGUCCUGGGCCGCACGCGCGCUACACUGAAGGAAUCAGCGUGUCUUCCCUGUCCGAAAGGACCGGGUAAUCCGCUGAACCUCCUUUGUGCUAGGGAUUGGGGCUUGCAAUUGUUCCCCAUGAACGAGGAAUUCCCAGUAAGCGCGAGUCAUAAGCUCGCGUUGAUUCUCCCCCUGGCCCCCU